rnacentral:other from 1 species
UUUUUUUACGAGGUAUCAGCACUUUUCUUUCAUUAGGGGGAAGGCGUGAGGAAAGCACCAAACGGCAGCAGACUUUUAAACUUUAAAUAGACAGGUCCGAGUGUCUGAACUUGCCUUUCCUCUGGUAUCUCAUCCACCCAGGAGUUCCAGGCUUGGCGCGCCCGCUUCACUCCUUUUAAGUGAGAGAGUAAGUGUUUUAAACCC